UGACCACUUCCUGAUAGGGGAGUUAAGGCCACGGACAGCCGGGUCAAAUGCCGA
rnacentral:sRNA from 1 species